CUCCAUGUCUCAUAUUUUGUGCCAAGUGUCUGGGCCACUGAAUGUUCAUGAUGGUAUUGAGGAACUGAAGGAG